rnacentral:lncRNA from 1 species
UUAGCCUUGGAAACUGUGUGAGGUCAAACUAAAGACAUAAGAAAGGAAAAAAAAAUCAGAGUCAGAACUGUGCAAGUAUUUUCAUCAAAGGCAAGCUGAGUAGUUCCUUUAUAUAUAGAUGUUCAUGAAGGCAAUAUUAGAAAUAGAUUGCUGACUAAGCAGGCAAAAUGUUUCCAAAAUAGUUGAGGGACAGAUAAAAUUAUGUAUGAAAGUGGUGAACCUCAGUGGCUCUCAUAUAUUGGAAAAUAACUAGGAAGGAAAAGGGAAAACUGGACUCUAAAGAAUGUAACCAGAUACAAGCAGUGUUGGCAUGUAGGUGGUUAACUGAAAGAGCUUACUGGAAGCUCAGACAGCUGGGGAAU